GUCGAGCGAACGGACGAGAAGCUUGCUUCUCUGAUGUUAGCGGCGGACGGGUGAGUAACACGUGGAUAACCUACCUAUAAGACUGGGAUAACUUCGGGAAACCGGAGCUAAUACCGGAUAAUAUUUUGAACCGCAUGGUUCAAAAGUGAAAGACGGUCUUGCUGUCACUUAUAGAUGGAUCCGCGCUGCAUUAGCUAGUUGGUAAGGUAACGGCUUACCAAGGCAACGAUGCAUAGCCGACCUGAGAGGGUGAUCGGCCACACUGGAACUGAGACACGGUCCAGACUCCUACGGGAGGCAGCAGUAGGGAAUCUUCCGCAAUGGGCGAAAGCCUGACGGAGCAACGCCGCGUGAGUGAUGAAGGUCUUCGGAUCGUAAAACUCUGUUAUUAGGGAAGAACAUAUGUGUAAGUAACUGUGCACAUCUUGACGGUACCUAAUCAGAAAGCCACGGCUAACUACGUGCCAGCAGCCGCGGUAAUACGUAGGUGGCAAGCGUUAUCCGGAAUUAUUGGGCGUAAAGCGCGCGUAGGCGGUUUUUUAAGUCUGAUGUGAAAGCCCACGGCUCAACCGUGGAGGGUCAUUGGAAACUGGAAAACUUGAGUGCAGAAGAGGAAAGUGGAAUUCCAUGUGUAGCGGUGAAAUGCGCAGAGAUAUGGAGGAACACCAGUGGCGAAGGCGACUUUCUGGUCUGUAACUGACGCUGAUGUGCGAAAGCGUGGGGAUCAAACAGGAUUAGAUACCCUGGUAGUCCACGCCGUAAACGAUGAGUGCUAAGUGUUAGGGGGUUUCCGCCCCUUAGUGCUGCAGCUAACGCAUUAAGCACUCCGCCUGGGGAGUACGACCGCAAGGUU
rnacentral:rRNA from 1 species